AGCGAACGCUGGCGGCAGGCCUAACACAUGCAAGUCGAACGAACCUUUCGGGGUUAGUGUCGGACGGGUGAGUAACACGUGGGAACGUGCCUUUAGGUUCGGAAUAACUCAGGGAAACUUGUGCUAAUACCGAAUGUGCCCUUCGGGGGUAAGAUUUAUCGCCUUUAGAGCGGCCCGCGUCGGGUUAGCUAGUUGGUUGAGGUAAUGGCUCACCAAGUCGACGAUCAGUAGCUGGUCUGCGGGGAUGAUCAGCCAGAUUGGGACUGAGACACGGCGCAAAGUACUACGGGAGGCAGCAGUGGGGAAUCUUGCGGAAUGGGCGAAAGACUGACGCAGCCAUGCCGCGUGAAUGAUGAAGGUCUUAGGAUUGUAAAAUUCUUUCACCGGGGACGAUAAUGACGGUACCCGGAGAAGAAGCCCCGGCUAACUUCGUG
rnacentral:rRNA from 1 species